rnacentral:rRNA from 1 species
AGAGUUUGAUCCUGGCUCAGGAUGAACGCUAGCUACAGGCUUAACACAUGCAAGUCGAGGGGCAGCAUCAUCAAAGCUUGCUUUGAUGGAUGGCGACCGGCGCACGGGUGAGUAACACGUAUCCAACCUGCCGACAACACUGGGAUAGCCUUUCGAAAGAAAGAUUAAUACCGGAUGGCAUAAUUAUUCCGCAUGGGAUAAUUAUUAAAGAAUUUCGGUUGUCGAGUGGGGAUGCGUUCCUAG